rnacentral:rRNA from 1 species
GACCCCGAAGGUGCUUCGCACUCGACA